GUCAAUGAUGUAGGUAAUAUAGAGCCUAGGCUAAAGUUUCUUCUGCAAAAUCUAUGCAUAACCAGUCAUCCCGAUAUUUGAGCUAGUACGAUUUGUCUUGUGAGCUGGCUGAGUAGUAGCCUUCGUGAAAUACAUGUAGAAAUACACAUUAAGGAUCAUGGUUGCAACGAUAAAGACUGCUCCAGCAACAAAGACACCUUUCCUUAGCGUUUCGCAAGAGAAGUUUUCUGCUAAGAGCAUAUCACGAUACUUGGUGUGGUACGCAUUUUGCUUUGCUCCAGCAAUAACACAUGCCUCAGCAACCAGGAAUGUCAACCAUGAUGAUACGAAGUAUAUAAUGGUCCAUGCACGAUUUGAACCAGGAGAUAAAGGUCUUCCAAAGCACAUGCAUUUUGUCACUCCCAUAAGCAAUGCCUCACCUGAAAGAAGAAACAAGAAAGCACCUACUCCAUAUCCAGUAGCAAUGUCUGAGGUGUAAACACAAUAUGUACGAUUGGUAAUAGUAUCAUCAUGCAGAGUACCAGUGCUCCGGCGACGUUCGGCGGCAAUGGCGAAUCCGAAAGCGACUAAGCUCAGUAUAAUCACGAGUAGAUGAACAAGGGAAGAUCCUCUGCCUUCCGCCAUUUCUCAAAGCUUCGAUUUAGGGCUUUUCACUUCAGUUCAAGAGUGUGUGUGAACUGUGUGUUCUUAGUGAGUGUGUUUUGU
rnacentral:misc_RNA from 1 species